UGUACAGCUGAAAACAGAAAAGUAUUGAGAAAUGCAUAAAAGAUACAAGUGUGAGAAAAAGACAGCAAAAAGGUAGUGUGGAAUGGCAACAGAAAGGAGAGCCUUCUCUAACUGAAGAAGAAACCACCAAACCCUGGACUCCAAGACUCUACUCGUUUAGGGGACUCAAAGCACCGUACCAUCCCACCACAGUGAUCCGGGAGGUAAUAGAAGAAAAUCCCCUGGGCAAGGAGAGUUGUGUUCACAGUGCAAAUCCAUUUUGCUCCAGCACCAGUGGUUCCCCAAGCAUUGCACAUCAGAACGAAUCUUCAGGUCUUUUGGGCUGACUCAAGACAGCUUGGUUGGAAAUUCAAUCAUUGUUUCACUGCCUGUGGUGGUAUACAUGUUAUCACAUGGAAAGACCUGAGAACUAAAGUGUCACAUCUCCUCUUAUGGCCAAAGCCGGGGUGUCCACUCAAACCUGAAUCCCAAUAUCUUAUUUGCUCUUUAUUAUGUCCUUCAUCAAUGUGUAGGAGAAAGAGAGGGCUCCAAGAGCCAAAAGAGCUUCCGUGUGCCUUUUCAACAUCCCUGUGAACAUACGUAGGCCCUCAUUAAUGGCAGUGCAGAAUUACACCUUGUGGCCUUUUGCAGAAAGGGAAAAGCCCCAAAUCUUUUUAAACUGCAUCCCACAAAAAGGCUUUGUCUUAAUACCAUGAACAGGAAAUGUUCAGGCACAAAUUUACCACAGACAGAGACCUUAAUAAUUAUUUCUAUAAAUAAUGUGCUUCCAGUUUUAUUGAGAAACCCCCAAAUCUUUGGGAGUAGUUUCUUUUCCUUCUAUGGGUUAAAAACAUAUCCUGCUGUCAAGAGCCUGGACAUGAUUCCAAAUGGCUUCUGAAGUAAUAUUGUCUCCAUCAUCACACUAAAUCCUAUGCAUAUAAAGGUAAUAAAAGCUGAAGCAUUCUUUUCAGGUAUUCUAUGUUAAUAGACAUACGCAAUACAGGAAACUUAAUCUAUCAACCUACGCAUCUAAAGAACUGCUGUGCCAAAACUAAGUCAAGUGUGAUUACAAUAUAAGAAAGAAAUAUGGACAAUGCUACUGAAUGGUACAUUUUGUUUCUUUUUAAGAAUUAUUUGCAGUCUACACAAUGUUAUAGCUGUGGCUGUCUUCUGCAUUAGUGGCUUAUAUAGUCACAUCCCCUUUGAAUUAACUUAAAACCAAGGUUUACUAGGAAAGAUGAUGAAAAGUUCUGAAGAAAAGAAGAUUACAAAGACCAUUAAGACCACAUUCUCCAAGUCAUUUAGGUACCUGAAAUGGAAUUACUUUAAUUAAACACAGGCAUCUACAUUUGAGCAAGACUCCUUUCAUAGACUUUGGAAAUUAACAGGUAUCUUUGGGACAUGUUUCAUUUCAUCUUGAUGUUAACAUCUGAACAAAAUCAUACUGUGUCCUAGAA